CUGGUUUGAAAUUGUAUGUCAUGACCAGGUUAGUAUUCAGGAGAGAGAAAGAAAGAAGGGACUGGGGAAAGGGAGGGAAAAAGAAGAUGGGGGCAGAUAGAACGCAUAUGAACACACACAGACCACACACUACACACACACGCAAACAUCACACACCCGUCACAUACACACCACAUGCCACACAUACACAUACACACCUACCACACAUCACAUACACACCACAUGCCACACACAUCUACCACACACAAUCACAUACACACAUGCCACACACAUACACACCUACCACACACAUCACAUACACA
rnacentral:lncRNA from 10 species